CCACCCGCAGCGGGAGAGUCCGCCGCCGUCCGCCCCCGGACGGCCGGCGGCGCCGAAGGAGCAAAUCCUCCCCGGGAAUCUCUCAGGCACCCGUACCGCUGCGAGCAG
rnacentral:ncRNA from 2 species